GACGAACGCUGGCGGCGUGCUUAACACAUGCAAGUCGAACGGUGAAGGGACCGGUUUUUGCUGGUUCUGGAUGAGUGGCGCACGGGUGAGUAACACGUGAGUAACCUGCCCCCUUCUUCUGGAUAACCGCAUGAAAGUGUGGCUAAUACGGGAUAUUCUGCGCCUGCUGCAUGGUGGGUGUGGGAAAGAUAUUGUUUCGGUGGGGGAUGGGCUCGCGGCCUAUCAGCUUGUUGGUGGGGUGAUGGCCUACCAAGGCGGUGACGGGUAGCCGGCCUGAGAGGGUGGACGGUCACACUGGGACUGAGACACGGCCCAGACUCCUACGGGAGGCAGCAGUGGGGAAUAUUGCACAAUGGGCGCAAGCCUGAUGCAGCGACGCCGCGUGAGGGAUGGAGGCCUUCGGGUUGUAAACCUCUUUCGCCAGUGAAGCAGGCCUGUCCCUUUUGUGGGUGGGCUGACGGUAGCUGGAUAAGAAGCGCCGGCUAACUACGUG
rnacentral:rRNA from 1 species